rnacentral:misc_RNA from 1 species
GAAGAACUGGAGAUCAAUGAAGUGACUGACAAAUGAAAGUGGAGAAAAAUCAAAUGAUUGGCAAGUGAAUGCAGCAUAGGGCUCCAAGACUGGACAAAAGCAAAUGAAUUUCUUAAUAGAUUUUGUUCACCCGUUUCAAAAUUUUCACUAGUGUACUUUUGGACUUAUCUUAAGGAAUCAAUUCUCAGUUCCAUUGAAAUGCUUUUGAAGCCAUGUAAUUCUAAGAGAAAUUUACAAGAAAACUCUUCUAUCCUAAUGUUAACUAUUUUUCAGUAGCUAUUUAAAAAAAAAUACACCUGGAGCACAAUGCUUCAUAUAUGGUAAUGAUUUGUAUC